AUAUAUAAACUGUACAGGCUAGGAGAUGCUUUGUUAGCACAUUCAGUUACAGGCGCACAGACAAUACCAAGGCAAGCUAUAUCAAAUUUCCCACUUUAGUGGUUGUGUAGGAAAAAUCAGAAAACAAUGGGGAACUGUAAACAAGGUUGUUUUUGAACUUCUUCGUCGAAGAUGACACAGGAAGAGAAUGGAUCUAGAGGGUGUAAAGGAACUUCUGAACAUGAAUCAGGCGACAACUCAUUCCUCAAAGGGCUGAACAUCGGGGGGUUGCGCAAGAUCGACACGAGAGGGAGCAUGUCUCCUUUUGUGAGGAGGGCCAUCUGAUGGAGAAGCACUCUCCUCCACUUCCACCCUUGGCUCAACA